rnacentral:piRNA from 1 species
AUAUAUAUGGAAGCAAAAUGUUG